UACGGAGGGUGCAAGCGUUAUCCGGAUUCACUGGGGUUAAAGGGUGCGUAGGCGGGCAUGUAAGUCCGUGGUGAAAUCUCCGAGCUUAACUCGGAAACUGCCAUGGAUACUAUGUGUCUUGAAUGUUGUGGAGGUGAGCGGAAUAUGUCAUGUAGCGGUGAAAUGCUUAGAUAUGACAUAGAACACCAAUUGCGAAGGCAGCUCACUACACAAAUAUUGACGCUGAGGCACGAAAGCGUGGGGAUCAAACAGG
rnacentral:rRNA from 1 species